GCGGCGGUCGCCGAGCUUGGCCAAAGGCGGCGGACUUAAGACCCGCUCCCGUAGGGGUCCGUGGGUUCAAAUCCCUCCCCUCGCA
rnacentral:tRNA from 1 species